rnacentral:rRNA from 1 species
GUCCACGCUGUAAACGAUGAGAACUGGCCGUCGCGGGUAUAAGACCCCUGCGGUGGCGAAGCUAACGCGUUAAGUUCUCCGCCUGGGAAGUACGGCCGCAAGGCUAAAACUCAAAGGAAUUGACGGGGGCCCGCACAAGCGGUGGAGUAUGUGGUUUAAUUCGACGCAACGCGAAGAACCUUACAUGGGCUCGAAAUGGCGGAAGUUGACUGAAAAGUUGAUGUGCUCGCAAGAGAACCGUUAUCAGGUGCUGCAUGGCUGUCGU